rnacentral:rRNA from 1 species
AGUGAACGCUGGCGGUAGGCCUAACACAUGCCAGUCGAACGGCAGCACAGUAAGAGCUUGCUCUUACGGGUGGCGAGUGGCGGACGGGUGAGGAAUAAAUCGGAAUCUACUUUUUCGUGGGGGAUAACGUAGGGAAACUUACGCUAAUACCGCAUACGACCUACGGGUGAAAGCAGGGGAUCUUCGGACCUUGCGCGAUUGAAUGAGCCGAUGUCGGAUUAGCUAGUUGGCGGGGUAAAGGCCCACCAAGGCGACGAUCCGUAGCUGGUCUGAGAGGAUGAUCAGCCACACUGGAACUGAGACACGGUCCAGACUCCUACGGGAGGCAGCAGUGGGGAAUAUUGGACAAUGGGCGCAAGCCUGAUCCAGCCAUACCGCGUGGGUGAAGAAGGCCUUCGGGUUGUAAAGCCCUUUUGUUGGGAAAGAAAAGCAGCAGGUUAAUACCCCGCUGUUCUGACGGUACCCAAAGAAUAAGCACCGGCUAACUUCGUG